rnacentral:rRNA from 1 species
UACGGGGGGGGCAAGCGUUGUUCGGAAUUACUGGGCAUAAAGGGCUCGUAGGCGGCCAACUAAGUCGGAUGUGAAAUCCCCAGGCUUAACCUGGGAACUGCAUCCGAUACUGGAUGGCUUGAAUCCGGGAGAGGGAUGCAGAAUUCCAGGUGUAGCGGUGAAAUGCGUAGAUAUCUGGAGGAAUACCGGUGGCGAAGGCGGCAUCCUGGACCGACAUUGACGCUGAACGGCGAAAGCUAGGGGAGCAAACGGG